rnacentral:misc_RNA from 1 species
GAUGAAGAACGUAGCGAAAUGCGAUAAGUAAUGUGAAUUGCAGAAUUCAGUGAAUCAUCGAAUCUUUGAACGCACAUUGCGUCCCCUGGUAUUCCGGGGGGCAUGCCUGUCCGAGCGUCAUUACAACCCUCAAGCCCAGCUUGGUGUUGGGCCCCGCCGCCCCGGCGGGCCCUAAAGUCAGUGGCGGUGCCGUCCGGCUCCGAGCGUAGUAAUUCUUCUCGCUCUGGAGGUCCGGUCGUGUGCUCGCCAGCAACCCCCAAUUUUUUUCAGGUUGACCUCGGAUCAGGUAGGGAUACCCGCUGAACUUAAGCAUAUCAAUAAGCGGAUGA